rnacentral:lncRNA from 1 species
CUCAUAUGAUAGCUUCUUUCACACUGAUUCCAAAAAUAUAUAGUUUCUAUAUACUCUUGUAUGUAGAAUAGGAGAUAAUUGGACACUUCCGGUUUUGUUGGAUGUCAUUUUUAGUCUUCAGUUAUCAGUUUAUGUAUCUAUAUGACAAAAUAUAUGGAUUCUGAGUAAUUUUAUAUGAAAAAAUUGCAAAAAAAGCUACUUCCGGAUUUCUCAAGGUCACUUCCGGUUGUCAUUUUUCAAGGUCAUUUGUCACCUUACCUUUGGUACAAGGUCAAAUGCCUUUAUAAUGAACUUAGUUGAAGUUUUAAUCAAAUAACCUCAUAUCAAGACAUUUCAGGGGCACCAACUCCUAUAAGAUGCCAUUUAAUUGUAUCAGACAUAAUGUAGCAUAUCUUCAUAAAAAUAAAGCAGACAUUUUGCACUUGAUCUUUAAUAUGUAUCUUUCAAAGUGUCAGAGAAAAUGCAAAAACAAGCAAAAGUCACAAUUGAGAACUUGACCUUGACCUUUGACCUUGACCUAAUUUUCUAAUUUAGGACCCAUGGGACUCAAAUAAAAACAUUUCCAGGUUUAAUGAUAACGGUUUAUGAGUUAAAAAGACAUACCGACAAAUUUAUUCCGUAAAGGUAGAUAACUCCUAUAAAAUUUCAUCGAAUCGCUUCGAUCCAAAUUAGCC